rnacentral:lncRNA from 1 species
AAUCAUGACUUUCAUGCAGCAGGAGCUGCAGGUUUUGGUUACCUGAUAUGAAGCACAGCCUCAGAAGUUCAUCAGCAAUGCACGAUAUUUGAGCAAGAUGCCAUACAGGACAGAUUCAGAAUCUCAGGCAAGUCUGAAACUACAGAAACGGAACAGAGAACAAGCUGAAAGAAACAAAAACUCCACACAAGGGAAAAACAAAGCAAGGAAAUCUGAAGUUCCAUCUUUGCUACAGGUUGUUAUGACACACCAUGGCCAUCAAGCAUACCAGUCAUCACACAGACCUCCUCAAAAAACAGUUAUGGAAGGAAACGUGGAUCUGUCACCAAAUCUAGAAACAAACAUGACCUUAAGUUUCCUGUUACAGACAACCUAUCAGUCAAGCAGAAGUUGA